UGGCGGCGGCGGUGGUGGUGGCGGUGGCGGCCACGGAUACGGCGGUGACAACCACGUUGGUUUCGGGAAUCAAGGAGGCGGUUGCGGAGGCGGUUGCGGGGGAAAUGGAGGCGGCGUUGCCUCUGCCACCGCUACUGCCACUGCUACAGCUACUGCUCAGUCCAGCUCGUACGGCGGAGGGUACGGUAAAAAACGCUAAGUCUGGCUGGACUACAGUGAAAGUCGACGUUACUUAGACAAUUGUAAUUUGUGAAGUAAUCUGUGAUCGUGAGAGAAAAUAGAAACAUUUACAAUGUGAAAAACAAUAGCAGUAAGAGAAGCGAAAGAACAUUUUAGUUAAGAAUGUAAUGAAUUAUGAUCGAUAUCAGGUACCUAUACCUACCUAGUUUCUGGAGGAAUAGGUAGGUACCUGUGUUAAGAAUGUGUGCAAUGAUUAAAGACUUUGAUUUUUAUUUA